rnacentral:rRNA from 1 species
GACGAACGCUGGCGGCGUGCCUAAUACAUGCAAGUCGAACGCAGUGGGGACGGGUGAGUAACACGUGGGUAACCUCCCAUCAGAGGGGAUAACACUUCGAAACAGGUGCUAAACCGAUACUGAUGGAUGGACCCGCGGUCCAUUAGCUAGUUGGUGAGGUAACGGCUCACCAAGGCCAUGAUGCAUAGCCGACCUGAGAGGGUGACCGGCCACACUGGAACUGAGACACGGCCCAGACUCCACGGGGAGGCAGCAGUAGGGAAUCUUCGGCAAUGGACGAAAGUCGAACAGAGCAAGGCCGCGUGAGUGAAGAAGGUUUUCGGAUCGUAAAACUCUGUUGUUAGAGAAGCGGUAUCUAACCAGAAAGCCACGGCUAACUACGUGCCAGCAGCCGCGGUAAUGC